UCUUCAACCAGUCAAGUUGACAGAUAAAAUUAAUUAUCACAAUCUUCUAUUACAAAAUACCUGAAAUGAUAAAUCUGAGCGUACAGAAUUGAAUUUACAGGAUAGAAGGGGAAGUUUAUAGAUGUCACCCAUGGAGAAGAAACUGAAAGCCAGAGCAACAAGAGUGCAAACUCACUUUGCAAGGACACUAGAGGCUCAAUUUGGGCAGCUUUGCACAUGGCCCAAACGGUAAAAAGGCUUGCCAUUUAUGGUUUGCUCAGGGAUUAUGGGACGCUAGGCAUUGAGACUGUGUGAGAAAAGAAGUUAAAACUGGAAAGUCUGUGCAGAGUCACAAGUCAUGAAAGCUGGUACUCUCACUGGGACUAGAACUACAUACAUUCCACAGCAAGAAAGAUUUCUCAGCCCAGAGAUCUGAACCAUGCAUGAAUCAUGUAACUUUCCAGCUGGAAAUGACCUUCCAAGUCAUCAUCUUUGUUUCACUGAUUAGGCACAUAGACCACAGAGAAGUUACCUCUUUGUGCAAGAAAAAAGGCACCACCUAAAAAGUAGAAUGAAGCCUUGAAACCUAGUCAGGUCUCCUGAUGGGAGGGAACAGUGUACUCUUUCACACUCCCACACUCGUUCUGCCUCCACUUAUACACUCAAUUAUCCAUCAAUUUUUGCCUUUUGGAUUUUAGCUCCACUACUCUUCUAAAAAAAUAGUAACUUUUGGCUCACUCUCUUCAGAAUAUAAAACCCUUGACUUCCUUUUACACCUCCAGUUUGCAAUAGAAUGCACAAAGUUGAAUUUACAUUUUAGUUCUGAUAUGCACAGGAGGCAAGAGGGCGGGGUCCCUGGUGAGGGCUCCACCCUCAAGCCUGGAAACCCACGGCCCUAAAUAAGAACAGGCAUUCCUGUUUUCAUGUCCAAAUGUUGCCUUUUCCAAGACCACUCUGGCCCACCACACCCCUAUCCUGUACCCAUAUAAACCCCAAGCUCCACUGGCAGAGCAGCAGAGCGGCACAGCAGAGAAGGAGAGAAAAAACAAAGAGCUGAACGUGGAGAGGCGAAGAGGCAACUGAAUGUCAGAGACUGUGGAUAGACGUGGCUUAACUUCAGACAACACGAUUUUGGAGAGAAGCCCGGCCGGAGGCAACCAGGCUUCAGGAAAAGAUUAUCUUCCCACUCCAUCCCCUUUCCUGCUCCCCAUCCCACUGAGAGCCACCUCCAUCACUCAAUAAAAC
rnacentral:lncRNA from 10 species